GUGCCAGCAGCCGCGGUAAUACGUAGGGUGCGAGCGUUGUCCGGAAUUACUGGGCGUAAAGAGCUCGUAGGUGGUUUGUCGCGUUGUUCGUGAAAUCUCACGGCUUAACUGUGAGCGUGCGGGCGAUACGGGCAGACUGGAGUACUGCAGGGGAGACUGGAAUUCCUGGUGUAGCGGUGGAAUGCGCAGAUAUCAGGAGGAACACCGGUGGCGAAGGCGGGUCUCUGGGCAGUAACUGACGCUGAGGAGCGAAAGCGUGGGGAGCGAACAGGAUUAGAUACCCUGGUAGUCCACGCCGUAAACGGUGGGUACUAGGUGUGGGUUUCCUUCCUUGGGAUCCGUGCCGUAGCUAACGCAUUAAGUACCCCGCCUGGGGAGUACGGCCGCAAGGCUAAAACUCAAAGGAAUUGACGG
rnacentral:rRNA from 1 species